CACACCACCCUGCCUUUCUAGGAUACUCCUUCUCAUUCUUCAGAAUUCAGUUUAAGCAAGCACUUGUAUUGUUUCAUGCUCAAUCUUGAUAGAGAGAAACUCCUUCUUUGUGUUCUCAGAAUUCCUUCGGCACGAAUCACCUGAUCACAGUGCUGAGAUCCUACUCUACUACUCUUCAGGAGAAGGUGGAAGCAGAAAAGCCAAUUGGGAGACUGUCAUAAAAAUCUCAAAGAGAGAGUUAUUAGUAUCUUGAACCAGAGUCAUAUCAAGGAAAAUAGAAGCCUGAGAGCAUAUGGACUGUUGAUAACGUUGACAGUACAAGACUGGUGAUCUUGUCCAGGGCAAACAAUCUAACUUCAAGAAACCAGGAUAACAAGCAAUAAACUGAUAAUGCUAGAAAGAACUACCCCGCACCUUACAUUAAUUUGCAAAGGCACUGUGAUUCCCCCGGGGUCAGUUUUUCUUUGCCGCCUCACUGUAUCAGGUCUCGAGAGCUACAUUUCGGAGUUGAACAGCAGUUAUCACCCAGAAAAUUUCCUUAUUUAAGACUGCCUUCAUUAAUUAGUUCCUCUGAAACUUGUUUAGGAGUGAGGCAAAUGAUUUCUUUCCAGGUUAGUAAUCACCCAUCUCUGAACACUCAAUCAGUCUUAAUAAUGCCCAAAGCAUCUUGUUAGAAAGAUCAGUAAAAAUGUUGGGUCUUGGAGUCUAAGUCUCACACUGGCAUGAGAAACUUGUUAGUUUUUUGCUGUAAUAGCUUCUCUGAAAUUUAACUACUGAUUGCUCAGGUUUGAAAUUCAAUCAAAGUUUUUUUUUAAUCCCAGAAGUGUUAGAAGUGAAAACUA